AGUAGACAUAACAAUGACUCUAUUGAACUGGAAGUUAAGACUGCCACUAGGCCACUUUGGGCUCCUUAUGCCUGGGUCAACAGGCCAAGGAGGGAGUUAUAGUGUUGGCUGCAUGGCUGAUCUGACUACUAAGGGGAAAUUGGACUACUGCUCAACAAUGGAGAUUCUCUCUGGACUAUUUCAUGGCUCAGGAACCACAUCCUCCUUCCCCACUUCCUGAGUGUAUGGGAUGGCCACAUAUACUGAAGCUCAAUCUUAUGAAAAGAGCAUUUCAGAGGCAGGAGGAUCUGGAUUUGAAUUCCGGCUUGAUCCUGGGCUGAACAGGACCAGUUCUGCUUUCUGCCCUGGGGCAAGUUACCCAACAUCGCUGAGCAUCUGUUUCCUUCACUAUAAAAUGAGGAUGAUGAUACCACGUGGGAUUGUUGAGAAGAUAAAAAGAGAAAGCACUUGAAAAGCUUCUAAACAUGACCUCUCACAAAGCUGUUCAAUAACUGUUAGCUCCCUUUUCUCCUCCUUGCAGCUGCUGUUUCCUGGAGUUGCAAACGUUUCUAGGUGAGCUCAUGUGAGACCAUCUGAAACAUUCCAAGAAGUAGUCCAGAUGUAAAGACAGCUUUAUCUUUGGCCAGGUGCAGUCUUACUAGAAUGGCCCAUCCUGGUAGAGAAUCAUGUGGCCCCUUAGACAACUAUGACACCAGGAAUUGGAUGAAACAAAGUUUCAGCUACAGGAUGAGGAUAUAUAGAUAAAUGUUGAUGACAUAUUUCUUUCCUUUUUUGGUUUCCUUUUCCCUUGAAAAUGCUUUCAGAUCUCUGAGACAUCCCGUUGUCAUCUUCCUCUUUUAAAACCCUUCGUGUGCUCUUUUCUAUGAAGGGCUGGUUGGCAGCUGAUGAGGCCCCAGGCUGGAAGGAACUCACCGGCUCAUGGCUCACCAACCCCUAACUACAGCUGGGCAGGCAAGGAGGGAGGCUGCAAUUUCAUUCACUUCUUUAGAUUGAUGUUUUGACAUCUUUAGAAGCCUCUGUUAAAAUGGAAAUGUGGAAUCUGAGUAGUGUGGUCAAACUGGUAUACGAGGACAUUUUGGUGGUGACUCAAGUCUGAUGAAGCUUUUCUAGUAAUUUGUGCCUUCCAUUUCCUAGGAACAAGAGUGAGUGAGGACUAAGGACACAAAACAGCAGCAGUUUCAGCCCCACUCCUAUAAUAUUCUAAAAGCUUGUCCUUAGAUCUUGAUAUUCUUCUCUCAGGCAGAGAGCUUAAGAAUAUUAGAGAAAUAUCCUGAUACUUUUGCAUUUUAAGGUAAGCCACAGCCAGAAAGAACAAUGGGAGGCCCAGAAGCCCACCUCCAACCACUCCAACCAGAUACACCAAGGACUCUGGCUCAGACCAGAUACAGCCACCUUGGUGAUCCAGAGAGGCCUCCUGCUGGGUGCAGUGGCUCAAGCCUGUAAUCCCACCACUUUGAGAAGCUGAGGUGGGAGGAUUGCUUGAAGCCAGGAGUUCAAGACCAGCCUGGGCAACAUAGCAAGACCCCAUCUCUACAAAAGAAAAAAAGAGAGAGAGAGUGAGAGAGGCCUCCUAUCAGGAAUCAUGCUCAAGUUCCAAUUCAAUUUCAAUGAGAGAUAAGGGAGUAAACAGCAGGAAGGAGGGAGAUUCCAGAAGACCCCAAGACUGCAUUGUUGGGCUGUCAUUGUUCAUGGGAAUUACUCACCCAUGGGUCUCCAUCGGGUUUCACCCACAGGUCUGUGCACCAUGUCUUGCUCUCUAGGAACCAGAACAUCUCUAUGGUUCUUUGGAUAGAAGUACUCUAUUUCAGUGACUCUUAGAUUUUUGUUUAUUUUUAAAAAGGGAUAGUUGUGGUGAAUUGCAUUAGGAUUACUAAAAUAAAAGCAUUAAGAAACUCCCCAAAA